UCGGGAAUUUUGGGCAAUGGGCGAAAGCCUGACCCAGCAACGCCGCGUGAGGGAUGAAGUAUUUCGGUAUGUAAACCUCGAAAGAAUGGGAAGAAUAAAUGACGGUACCAUUUAUAAGCUCCGGCUAACUACGUGCCAGCAGCCGCGGUAAUACGUAGGGAGCAAGCGUUGUUCGGAUUUACUGGGCGUAAAGGGCGCGUAGGCGGCGCGGUAAGGCACUUGUGAAAUCUCUGAGCUUAACUCAGAACGGCCAAGUGAUACUGCUGUGCUAGAGUGCGGAAGAGGCAACCGGAAUUCUUGGUGUAGCGGUGAAAUGCGUAGAUAUCAAGAGGAACACCUGAGGCGAAGGCGGGUUGCUGGGCCGACACUGACGCUGAUGCGCGAAAGCCAGGGGAGCAAACG
rnacentral:rRNA from 1 species